UGAUGAUGAUGAUGAUGAUGAUGAUGAUGAUGGUGGUGGUGGUGGUGGUGGUGGUGGUGUGGUGGUGGUGGUGGUGAUGAUCACCACUACCAUCAUCAUCAUCAUCAUCAUAACAA
rnacentral:pre_miRNA from 1 species